rnacentral:rRNA from 1 species
UGGGGAAUUUUGGACAAUGGGCGAAAGCCUGAUCCAGCAAUGCCGCGUGUGUGAAGAAGGCCUUCGGGUUGUAAAGCACUUUUGUCCGGAAAGAAAUCCUUGGCUCUAAUACAGUCGGGGGAUGACGGUACCGGAAGAAUAAGCACCGGCUAACUACGUGCCAGCAGCCGCGGUAAUACGUAGGGUGCAAGCGUUAAUCGGAAUUACUGGGCGUAAANCGUGCGCAGGCGGUUUGCUAAGACCGAUGUGAAAUCCCCGGGCUCAACCUGGGAACUGCAUUGGUGACUGGCAGGCUAGAGUAUGGCAGAGGGGGGUAGAAUUCCACGUAUAGCAGUGAAAUGCGUAGAGAUGUGGAGGAAUACCGAUGGCGAAGGCAGCCCCCUGGGCCAAAUACUGACGCUCAUGCACGAAAGCGUGGGGGAGCAAAACAGGAUUAGAUACCCUGGUAGUCCACGCCCUAAAACGAUGUCAACUAGUUGUUGGGGGAUUCAUUUCCUUAGUAACGUAGCUAACGCGUGAAGUUGACGCCUGGGGAGUACGGUCGCAAGAUU